rnacentral:rRNA from 1 species
ACGGUAACAGGAAGCAGCUUGCUGCUUCGCUGACGAGUGGCGGACGGGUGAGUAAUGUCUGGGAAACUGCCUGAUGGAGGGGGAUAACUACUGGAAACGGUAGCUAAUACCGCAUAACGUCGCAAGACCAAAGAGGGGGACCUUCGGGCCUCUUGCCAUCGGAUGUGCCCAGAUGGGAUUAGCUAGUAGGUGGGGUAACGGCUCACCUAGGCGACGAUCCCUAGCUGGUCUGAGAGGAUGACCAGCCACACUGGAACUGAGACACGGUCCAGACUCCUACGGGAGGCAGCAGUGGGGAAUAUUGCACAAUGGGCGCAAGCCUGAUGCAGCCAUGCCGCGUGUAUGAAGAAGGCCUUCGGGUUGUAAAGUACUUUCAGCGGGGAGGAAGGUGAUGAGGUUAAUAACCUUGUCAAUUGACGUUACCCGCAGAAGAAGCACCGGCUAACUCCGUGCCAGCAGCCGCGGUAAUACGGAGGGUGCAAGCGUUAAUCGGAAUUACUGGGCGUAAAGCGCACGCAGGCGGUCUGUCAAGUCGGAUGUGAAAUCCCCGGGCUCAACCUGGGAACUGCAUUCGAAACUGGCAGGCUAGAGUCUUGUAGAGGGGGGUAGAAUUCCAGGUGUAGCGGUGAAAUGCGUAGAGAUCUGGAGGAAUACCGGUGGCGAAGGCGGCCCCCUGGACAAAGACUGACGCUCAGGUGCG